rnacentral:rRNA from 1 species
AUUCCCUACGGGACGCAGCAGUAGGGAAUAUUGCGCAAUGGGCGAAAGCCUGACGCAGCGACGCCGCGUGAGGGAUGAAGGUCUUCGGAUCGUAAACCUCUGUCAGCAGGGAAGAACGGUCACUGUGCUAAUCAGCAGUGAAUUGACGGUACCUGCAAAGGAAGCACCGGCUAACUCCGCGCCAGCAGCCGCGGUAAUACGGAGGGUGCGAGCGUUAAUCGGAAUUACUGGGCGUAAAGCGCUCGUAGGCGGUAUGUCAAGUCAAGGGUGACAUCCCCGCGCUCAACGUGGGACCUGCCUUUGAA